rnacentral:lncRNA from 1 species
AGGGUCCCCUUCCGAUAAGGGAAACGAGCGAGUGUGGCUACUCGAUAGCCUUAGCACGCUAGUUUCGCCUUCUAAUCAAAGGGAAAAUCAAGUCACGAUUUAGGUCUCCCCGUACCCAAUAUGCAUGAAUUCCCUAGGCUCAUGCAUUCUCAAUCCACUCUAUCAUUACACUUUCACUUUUGUCUCAUUUGCACACAUGCACCUUUUUAUCACCUUCACUUGCACACGAACACUUUUUUGUCUCCACUUGCACA